GCUAGAUCAAGAGGUGUCUGAUCGUUUUUAUUUCUUAUUUUAGGAUCUGCUCCAUUUUUUAGAAGUUUCAAUGCACAGUGCUUGUGGGCACGGUAUGCUGCACAAUGCAAUGGUGUGUUCCCCAUCUGAUCCACACAAUUGAUAUCAGGUGGUUUGGGCUUGUUUAACAAAGCAGACAGUUUCCCUGUUUCCCCAUCUCUUGCUGCUCCUAAGAGCUCUUCUUCCAGCUUCCUUUCUUGUGUCCUUUCAACUGCUUCCAACAUAUUCCUUAUGUCUUUAUCAUGAGUAACUUCUUUUGCUGUUUCUCCACUCCCAUUAACAAUAGAAGUAUCAGCAUUAUACUGCAAGAGUAACAUCACCACCUCCUUACGUCCUGUGAAAGCUGCACGAUGGAGCGGAGUGUCUCCCAUGUCAUUCAGCACAUUCACA
rnacentral:lncRNA from 1 species